AUUGCACGCUGGCGGCAGGCCUAACAUAUGCAAGUCGAACGAGUUGCGGACGGGUGAGUAAUGUCUGGGAAACUGCCUGAUGGAGGGGGAUAACUACUGGAAACUGUAGCUAAUACCGCAUACCAUCAGAUGUGCCCAGAUUGGAUUAGCUAGUUGGUUGGGUAACGGCUCACCAAGGCGACAAUCCCUAGCUGGUCUUAGAGGAUGACCAGCCACACUGGAACUGAGACACGGUCCAGACUCCUACGGGAGGCAGCAGUGGGGAAUAUUGCACAAUGGGCGCAAGCCUGAUGCAGCCAUGCCGAGUGUAUGAAGAAGGUCUUCGGUGUGUAAAGUACUUUAAGCGGGGAGGCGUUACCCGCAGAAGAAGCACCGGCUAACUCCGUGCCAGCAGCCGCGGUAAUUC
rnacentral:rRNA from 1 species